rnacentral:rRNA from 1 species
UACGGAGGGUGCAAGCGUUAUCCGGAUUUAUUGGGUUUAAAGGGUCCGUAGGCGGGCCGAUAAGUCAGUGGUGAAUUUUCGUGCUUAACAUGAGAGCUGCCAUUGAUACUGGAUACCUUGAGUGUAUUUGAUGUGGGCGGAGUGUGUUGUGUAGCGGUGAAAUGCAUAGAUAUGACACAGAACACCGAUAGCGAAGGCAGCUCACAAAGUUACAACUGACGCUGAUGCACGAAAGCGUGGGGAUCAAACAGG